CACAUACACUCUCAGCUAGUUGGUGAGUCCUUCUAGUUUCCGGAGGAUGUUGAGCCUUCAUGUACAGUUUUGUUGACCUUUCCUUUAUUUUGAUUGUUGGUAGCCAUGGACCUGUCAUGGGCACCUCUUAGACUUUGAUAGAGGCCUCAUAGACUGGAGUGUGGGGAGGUCGAACCAUUAUUUUGAAGAGUCUUACUUUAUUGUCUUGUUGGAUUGUAAAUGUUUGGCCUUCGGCCCCCAUAUAUGAAUAGCAUUUCUUUAAUUUAGUUUCCGCUAAGAGAAUGUGAUUGAAUGAAUGUGUGACUGGACCAGGUGGUUCUCUCGGAGGUCAGAAAUGGCCUUCGGGUGCCGGUUACGUCUAGGGUACCCUCUCGGGGCGUGAAAAUACCAAACAACCUCCUAAUAAAUUGAGGCAACUUCCUUAUCAUCCCCAAUACUCUUUCCCAAGCUGUUAGGACCCGAAAUUAUGAUGCCACUACACCCCUAAGUAGGAAAGCCUAAAAACCUAGAAGAAAAACUUACGGAAGAUAUGUUAUGCCCCGUACUUUUGUACUUUGGAAAGCCUUCUUAAACUUCUUAAAAGUUUCCAGGUGACUCAGAUUAGCUACUACACUACCAAAUGACUCUAAGGAAAGGAGAAUGAGAUACCCCAUAAUAAGGAAGAUUGGAAGUAGGGUUGGAAGAGUCCGGAAGGAGUUGGAGGCCAAGAAAUGAGUCGUAGGACUCGACUUACUUGCAUAAGCUACCAACUUUGAUGUCCUACGUAAUUAAUCUACUUGAGUACACGUCGAGCUUAAGUAUCAAGGAAUGCAUAGGCUCUUAAAGUAAGAAGAGAUUACGAACCCACGAAAGAGGUGGAAGGAGGCGUAGAACCUACUUGGAAGCAAGUAGGUGAUGCACCUACUUGGACCCAGUAGGUGACUCACCUGCUUGAGGUGGACCCCACACUGCCACGCGGCAGCAUAUGAGUGGCCGUAUGGAUGAAGUGGCGCCCUAGGGGCUGCCACGUGUCACCCCUAGGGGCUUCCACGUGUAAUUCUCCAAGGAAGAAUAUAUAUACAUGUAAAUAUGACUAAGGAGUCAUUUUUUAAUUCUCUUAACUUCAAAAUUGAAAGAAAGUUGCAAAAAAAUGUAGAGAGCAAGAACAAGAGAGCUAUGGCUAUAGCUACUCCAAGAUAGCGCAACAAACAACCCAUCAAGUUCAGCCACGUCAAAGAGCUUUCGAAGCUAAUUUUUUGUAUGUUUGGGAAGCCGUUCAUUAAGGUUAAAGGAUUAACUUCGCAAGUCGGGAUGCGAUUAACCCAUAACAGGUA